rnacentral:lncRNA from 1 species
UUUGUGGAAGGCAGAUUCGAUAACUUGUAUAAUAUACACUCCAUAUCCUGUUAGGAAAAGUUAUAACUUGUCCAAUAACUUGGAUUUCUAGUGGACAACACUGUUUUAUGUUGGAACAUAAAAAAGUAUAGAUUACAAAAUCAUGGGAAAGAACUAUUGAGAUGAAUACACAUCACAGUUUGAACACAAUGCACCUCAAACUUAGUAACACAAGUUUACUGCACACACUUCGAAUCACUACCUUCAAAUGUUCUUUUAUUUCACCGGCAGGGUGGAUUGUCCAAGCAAGUUUCUGAUCUGGCAAUUCCACCGCGUGACAAUUCUCCAGGGACAGCGAUCCAUGCAUCACCGGAUGAUGUGUGCUUACCUUAUGGCUUUGGUGUCACCUCCGUUUCUAGAAUCCACAGGCAGCAAGCUCGGAUCAUGUGGAGCAUGACCACGGCUACAGUUGAAAGUGCAGCAGUUGUUGCACAACUGGAGGUCAUGAAGCUCGCAUAGAGGGCACUUCUCUGGGCAGCAAGACGUGCCCUUCUCUGGGCAGCAGCCGCAACACGACGUGCAAGGCCGGAGACAGUUACCCAUCCGUAGACCGUAGUGGUGUGUUUCGGUGGCUCACAGGUCACUAGCUUCGUGAGGUCGCGCUUAAUGGGCAUGUGUCAGGGUCCUAUAUAUACACAAGCC